AUGUAUCUCCAAAGGCCAACUUGUUUUUUUUUAAAAGAAAGAGAGAGAGAGAGAGAGAGAAAGAAAGAGAGAGAGAGAGAGAAGAGGAAGGGAGAAAGCUUACCUGAGUUGCCACCGCGCCUCGAGACCACGUUGAGCUCGUCACCACCGUCCGCUGCAGCUUAGAAUCGCCGGAAACCGCCAUGCAGUUAAGCUUAGUUUCGUCCGUUUAGUAAUUCGACAAUAACUUUCUAACCGUGAUGAAUCUCGUGAAUCCAAGACCACCAUCGUGUUCCUCUCGUCGAGACGAAGCCGUAGACACCAAGCACGCCUCAAACGGAGCCCGGACGAAGCCGCACGCGCC
rnacentral:lncRNA from 1 species